UAAAAACUCAAAUAUUUCUUGCAUGCAGAGUUGAUGAGAAUGACUAUUUAUAUCAUUGAUUUUUUACAGGUGAAAUAAUCGCGAACAAAAUGGGAUGUCUGGUACAAGGAAUUUUUGACUUACAGGGUGAAGAAUAGCUGGACAGAAAUGACAUUGAGCAGGAGUGGAUUAUGCUGUCGUACGCGUUUU
rnacentral:lncRNA from 1 species